rnacentral:rRNA from 1 species
AACGAACGUUAGCGGCGCGCUUAACACAUGCAAGUCGCACGAGAAAGGGCGCAAGCCCCGGUAAAGUGGCGCACGGGUGAGUAACACGUAGGUAACCUACCCCUGGGUGGUGGAUAACCUUCCGAAAGGAGGGCUAAUACAGCGUAAGACCACGGUUGCGAAAGCGACUGAGGUCAAAGCGGGCCUCUGCAAGCAAGCUCGCGCCUGGGGAUGGGCCUGCGGCCCAUCAGCUAGUUGGCGGGGUAACAGCCCACCAAGGCUAAGACGGGUAGCUGGUCUGAGAGGAUGAUCAGCCACACUGGAACUGAGACACGGUCCAGACUCCUACGGGAGGCAGCAGUGGGGAAUCUUGCGCAAUGGGCGAAAGCCUGACGCAGCGACGCCGCGUGGGUGAUGAAGGCCUUCGGGUUGUAAAGCCCUGUGGGGAGAGACGAAUAAGGCCGGGCGAAUAUCCCGGUUGAUGACGGUAUCUCUUUAGCAAGCACCGGCUAACUCUGUG